AGCUAAGUAGAGUCCCUAAUAAACCUCAGGAAAAGUAUAGAGAAGAAGGCACAUGAACUGAUGAGAAAGAAUUCAGUUCUCCCAGAUCCCAGAAGUCAGAAUUCACUGUCACUGUGACACAGAAGUCUUCCAUAGACAAGAGAAGUCAGUGGAAAGUCUGCAAGGGAAAUGUGAAGAUCACAACCUAAUCAACGCAACGAUUGCCACCUCAACAUGCUUCAGCUCAGACUGUGUCCAGAGACUUCAGCCACCAGGUUCCAGAUGCCAUCAGGAUGCCGGCCAGGCUUCCCUGGACUGAAGACCCCAGCAAUGUGUCCUGGAGCUCGCUUCCCCAGAGACCCACCCUACUAGGGAAAGAGAGAGGCAGACUGGGAGUAUGGACCAACCAGUCAAUGUCCAUGUUCAGCGGGGAAGCAAUUACAGAAAUCAGACCUUCCACCUUAUGCAACCCACAAUGACCCUGGGUCCAUGCUCCCAGAGGGAUAGAGAAUGGGAAAGCUGUCACGGGAGGGGACAGGAUAUGGAGACUGGGUGGUGGGAAUUGUGUGGAGUGGUACCCCUCCUACCCUAUGGUUUU